GAAGAAAUGGUAGAUAACAAUUACCAUGCAAUGGAUCAUAACGGUGACAAUCAAGUCUCGAGAACUGACUUUGACCAUUACUACACAAAUAUAAUACACCACCUUCUUCAACAACAGCAACAUGGGCAAAUAUAUUUAUCACAAAACAAUGAAAGGGAUCUGUUGUUUCAAUAUCAUUAAAGAGCGAGAGCAACGACGC
rnacentral:misc_RNA from 1 species